CCUACGGGAGGCAGCAGUGAGGAAUAUUGGUCAAUGGCCGGAAGGCUGAACCAGCCAAGCCGCGUGCAGGAUGAAGGCGCAAAGCGUCGCAGACCGCUUUUACCGGGGAACAACGCGCCUUACUCGUACGGUCCUGCAGGUACCCGAGGAAAAAGGAUCGGCUAACUCCGUGCCAGCAGCCGCGGUAAUACGGAAGGUCCGGGCGUUAUCCGGAUUCAUUGGGUUUAAAGGGGGCGGAGGCCGGGCGUUAAGCGUGCGGUGAAAUGUCCGGGGCCAACCCGGGCCGUGCCGCGGGAACUGGGGGGCUUGAGUGCGGCGGAGGCAGGCGGAAUGCGUGGUGUAGCGGUGAAAUGCAUAGAUAUCGCGCAGAACCCCGAUUGCGAAGGCAGCGUGCUGUGCCGCCACUGACGCUGAGGCACGAAAGCGCGGGGAUCGAACAGGAUUAGAUACCCUGGUAGUC
rnacentral:rRNA from 1 species